rnacentral:rRNA from 1 species
CCUACGGGGGGCAGCAGUCGAGAAUCAUUCGCAAUGGACGAAAGUCUGACGGUGCGACGCCGCGUGGAGGAUGAAGGCCCUAGGGUCGUAAACUCCUGUCAUCAGGGAGUAAUUACUUAUGUAGUAACUGACAUAGGUCUUGAUAGUACCUGAAGAGGAAGGGACGGCAAACUUCGUGCCAGCAGCCGCGGUAAUACGAAGGUCCCAAGCGUUGUUCGGAUUUACUGGGCGUAAAGCGUCUGUAGGCGGGAUGGUAAGUCAGAUGUGAAAUCCCGGGGCUCAACCCCGGAACUGCAUCCGAUACUGCCAACCUAGAGGGUCGGAGGGGAGUCUGGAAUUCUCGGUGUAGCAGUGAAAUGCGUAGAUAUCGAGAGGAACACUCGUGGCGAAGGCGAGACUCUGGACGACACCUGACGCUGAGAGACGAAGGCCAGGGUAGCGAAAAGGAUUAGAUACCCCCGUAGUC